UCCCUGAUGAUCUAGUGGUUAGGACUCAGCGUUUUCACCCUAUGGCCUGGGUUCAAUUCCUAGUUUGGGAA
rnacentral:tRNA from 1 species